rnacentral:rRNA from 1 species
GACGAACGCUGGCGGCGUGCUUAACACAUGCAAGUCGAACGGAAAGGCCCUGCUUUUGUGGGGUGCUCGAGCGGCGAACGGGUGAGUAACACGUGAGUAACCUGCCCUUGACUUUGGGAUAACUUCAGGAAACUGGGGCUCAUACCGGAUAGGAGCUCCUGCUGCAUGGUGGGGGUUGGAAAGUUUCGGCGGUUGGGGAUGGACUCGCGGCUUAUCAGCUUGUUGGUGGGGUAGUGGCUUACCAAGGCUUUGACGGGUAGCCGGCCUGAGAGGGUGACCGGCCACAUUGGGACUGAGAUACGGCCCAGACUCCUACGGGAGGCAGCAGUGGGGAAUAUUGCACAAUGGGCGGAAGCCUGAUGCAGCAACGCCGCGUGCGGGAUGACGGCCUUCGGGUUGUAAACCGCUUUCGCCUGUGACGAAGCGUGAGUGACGGUAAUGGGUAAAGAAGCACCGGCUAACUACGUG